CCUACGGGUGACAGCAGUAGGGAAUAUUGCUCAAUGGGGGAAACCCUGAUGCAGCAACGCCGCGUGAAGGAUGACGGUUUUCGGAUUGUAAACUCCUUUUGUUAGAGAAGAUAAUUACGGUAUCUAACGAAUAAGCACAGGCUAACUCCGUGCCAGCAACCGCGGUAAUACGGAGGGUGCAAGCGUUACUCGGAAUCACUGGGCGUAAAGGGCGCGUAGGCGGGAUAGCAAGUCAGAUGUGAAAUCCUAGGGCUUAACCAUAGAACUGCAUUUGAAACUGGUAUUCUAGAGUAUGGGAGAGGUAGGUGGAAUUCGUGGUGUAGCGGUAAAAUGCGUAGAGAUCAAGAGGAAUACUCAUUGCGAAGGCGGCCUGCUAGAACAUAACUGACGCUGAUGCGCGAAAGCGUGGGGAGCAAACAGGAUUAGAUACCCCAGUAGUC
rnacentral:rRNA from 1 species